GACAAAAAUAGCCUCAGUGGUGUGGCUUGUGUUCGCAGAGUAAUGUCCUGGGUACGCUAUACUAUUAGGGGAGGCAGCCUGUAUCUUUAAUAACCUACGUUAGUACCUCAUUCUACAGAACACGCCGUAACAAAAUGGUUAUAAAAGUAUUUCUAGCUUCUUCAUCAGGAUCGACAGCGAUCAAAAAGAAGCAACAGGAUGUGCUUGGGUUCCUGGAGGCCCUGAAAGUGGACUACGCUCCAUUGGACAUUGCCUGCAAUGAGGACAACCGCAUGUGGAUGAGGGAAAAUGUCCCUGUGGAGAAAAAGCCCACCAACGGGAUCCCCCUACCCCCUCAGAUCUUCAAUGAAGAGAGCUACUGUGGGGACUACGAGACAUUCUUUGACGCUAAAGAAGACAAUGCAGUGUUUGCCUUCCUGGGUCUGCCACCUCCUCCAGGAUCCAAGGAAGCGAAAGAGGCUGAAAAGGCAUUUAUCCUUGAGAAUGGGCCUGUUGAAAAUGGGACUGUUGAGAUUGAGACCGUUGAGAGUGAGACCGUUGAGAGCGGAACUGAUGAUGCUGAGGAUGAAGAGAACCUUGAAGCUGAGGAGGUUGAGGAGGAGAAUCUUGAUGAUGACUCACUAAAAAGAGUGGUUCCGAUGGAGGAGUUCAAUGGAGAUGAACACACAGAGGAGGUGGAAGCAGAGGUGGGAGGAGAAACAGGAGAGGAGGCAGCAGAAGAGGCCACAGCAGAAGACGCCGCCGCAGAAGAGAAGGUGGCAAAGGAGGAGGAGGAGGCGGUCGAAGACACAGAGGAAGCCACAGAAGACACUAAGCCCCCCGUGAAGCAGGAAGAAGCCCAGGAAGAAGUAGAGGAUGAGGAGGCUAAGGGAGAAGACGAUCAGCCGGUUUCUGAGGUCUGCUGUGGAGGGAUUGCUGGAGAAGAGGAUUUGGGGUCGGAGGAGGAAGAAGAGCUGCGACAGCUUGAGGAAGAAGAAGAGGCCCCAGAGGUAACAGAGGUAUAUUCUGGCUGUGCUCCCAGCCCAUUGCAUGGUGUGGCCCCUGACGUGGAGUAAAUGGAUCCUAUGCAUGACGCUACUCCUUCAUAUGUGGAUUUAGUCAGGAAGAAGAGGAUGAGUAGUAACAGCCAGGAAAGGUUUAGGAUGUGAUUUACUACUGCCCAGCCUCGAGAGACCCCCUGUUCCGAUCCUUCCUGACCCCUCAGACCGUCCCACACCCAUCCCACUACCCACGAUGCCCCCACCUGCUCACUGUGAAUGCACAUGUUCCCCUGCUGGACCCUGCUGGCUGAAACCUGCCAAUCACACACUGUCUGUACGGCUCACCCAUACUCCAGAGAUAACCCCCUGUUUUACCAGAUGUUUAUAUUGUGUAGGGGACUAGGACUAGAGAAGAUGUGUUGCUGUACUUCAUUUGUAUAGCGUUGAGAGUUUAUGGUAGCUUCCAUCCAGUGUGUAGCACAAUUACAUAGUGUUAUCAGUUUUUUUUUUUCAGCAGCUUUUCUAAUUGUACAUACACAGUCAUAUGUUAAGUGUUUUAAAGAUUUCAAACAUACUUCUCAUGUUUCAAAUUGAAAAUUGUAGUUUUAUACCACAGUUUGUAUAGGAUGAUGAGCAUGUCACCACCAACAACUUAGCAGUCAAUGACGGACAGCUAUAACCCUGUGAGAAUCCGAGUGAAGAUCACUCUGAAUGGACUUAUAAUCUCAGACUGAAACAGAUCUAUCAAUGCAGUGCCUCUCACUCGAUGCCAGCAAAUAUGUUAGAUCUAUAUGUGUGAAUGCAACCCAGUGACUCUAUGUCUCAAUCCAACAUGAGAAAGACCCUUGUGUAGGGUUUACACUAGCUUUCAUAAGCUAGUGUACAAAGUCAGAUUCCAUAAAUUGCUUUUGGUCUUACUUUAAGGUUAGGGUUAACCAUAAGGUUAGCAGUGUGGUUGGGUUGGGUAAAAUAUUAAUUGUAGAAAUGGGUGGGGUUUGGGGCUGUGGAAACUAGUGACAACCCUCAUGUAGCGUGCUUUAUGACUGUGUUUGCAGCUACUGGACACCAUUCACUGAACGUUACUAUCUGCUGAUCUACUGUGCACUUUGUUGAAUGUAAAAUGAUGUGGAUGACUAAGAGAUCCCCCUAGAUGUAAGAGAAGUGAAAUGCCAAUAAAGUUGAAUGGUGUGAACAGCU